UACGAAGGGUGCAAGCGUUACUCGGAAUUACUGGGCGUAAAGCGUGCGUAGGUGGUUUGUUAAGUCUGAUGUGAAAGCCCUGGGCUCAACCUGGGAAUUGCAUUGGAUACUGGCAGGCUAGAGUGCGGUAGAGGAUGGCGGAAUUCCCGGUGUAGCAGUGAAAUGCGUAGAGAUCGGGAAGAACAUCGGUGGCGAAGGCGGCAUCCUGGACCGGUAUUGACGCUGAGGUGCGAAAGCGUGGGGAGCAAACAGG
rnacentral:rRNA from 1 species